rnacentral:rRNA from 1 species
GAUGAACGCUAGCGGCAGGCCUAACACAUGCAAGUCGAGGGGUAUCAGGAUUAAGCUUGCUUAAUUGCUGACGACCGGCGCACGGGUGCGUAACGCGUAUGCAACCUACCUUAUACUGGGGUAUAGCCCGGAGAAAUUCGGAUUAAUCCCCCAUAGUACUAAUGAAUCGCAUGGUUUAUUAGUUAAAGCAUUGCGGUAUAAGAUGGGCAUGCGUCCUAUUAGCUAGAUGGUGAGGUAACGGCUCACCAUGGCUACGAUAGGUAGGGGGCCUGAGAGGGUGGUCCCCCACACUGGUACUGAGACACGGACCAGGCUCCUACGGGAGGCAGCAGUGAGGAAUAUUGGUCAAUGGGCGCAAGCCUGGACCAGCCAUGCCGCGUGCAGGAAGAAUGCCCUAUGGGUUGUAAACUGCUUUUAUUUGGGAAUAAACCUCUUUACGUGUAGAGAGCUGAAGGUACCAAAUGAAUAAGCACCGGCUAACUCCGUGCCAGCCGCCGCAGUAA